rnacentral:rRNA from 1 species
GAUGAACGCUGGCGGCGUGCCUAAUACAUGCAAGUCGAGCGAACAGACGAGGAGCUCGCUCCUCUGACGUUAGCGGCGGACGGGUGAGUAACACGUGGAUAACCUACCUAUAAGACUGGGAUAACUUCGGGAAACCGGAGCUAAUACCGGAUAAUAUAUUGAACCGCAUGGUUCAAUAGUGAAAGACGGUUUUGCUGUCACUUAUAGAUGGAUCCGCGCCGCAUUAGCUAGUUGGUAAGGUAACGGCUUACCAAGGCAACGAUGCGUAGCCGACCUGAGAGGGUGAUCGGCCACACUGGAACUGAGACACGGUCCAGACUCCUACGGGAGGCAGCAGUAGGGAAUCUUCCGCAAUGGGCGAAAGCCUGACGGAGCAACGCCGCGUGAGUGAUGAAGGUCUUCGGAUCGUAAAACUCUGUUAUUAGGGAAGAACAGAUGUGUAAGUAACUAUGCACGUCUUGACGGUACCUAAUCAGAAAGCCACGGCUAACUACGUGCCAGCAGCCGCGGUAA